GAUCCCGGAGGCAAACACCCGACAGCGCGAUGCGCCCUCGGGUGUGUUUUGC
rnacentral:sRNA from 1 species